AUACUGUGCAAGUGAGCUGUUGAAUCUAGGCAUACCAGGAUCAGGAUGGCCGAACUGGAGUACAUUUUACAAGAUUUCGGGGAGGAAAUCAUUCAGAUUUUGAAAGGAGCAUUUCUUCUCAGAAAAUGAAGGAUUCAUUGAAUACAGAUUCAAGAAUAUGAGGCCGAAUGGCAAACAGGGUAAGAAGAGGAAGCAUGCCAAAUCAGAUGAUCACAAACAAGAAGAUGUGAUAGUGGAUGAGGAAUUACUUCAAGAUGAAGAAUUACAAGAAAAGGUUAACUGAAAGAAGCACACAGUUCCCACUGCAGCAAAUAAGGGGGAAAUUAUCCAAUUUUUCAAAGACACUGCUGCUUAUUGUCAAAUGAUGCUAAAGAAGAGGACAGACAUGACCAUUACAGACUUCAUCACCACCUUUCCAAGGAUACAAGAGAUGCCAGAACUUAUCAACAUGGACUUUGAAACAGAACAUGGGCACCUUUCUGACAAUUUUAUUUCAAAGUGGGAGUCGUUCUACCGAGACCGUAUCAUAAAAUUAGGUUUGAGCGGGUAUCCAGCGGUAAAAGAAUCAAUUCAACAGUUUUGAGGAAGGAGACAACAGAGACCUGUGUGGUUUAACUGCACUGUUGCUGAUGUUACAUAAGCCACUGACAAAGACCAAGAACCCCACCUCGAGUUCAAGAGCAUCGCCGAGUUUGGAGCACUUCAUCCAGUACAGACCUAUUGGGACAGAUGUUCAAGCGACAGCAGCUGGGAAGUCUGCUGAGUUUCGGCAGCCCUAUAUUCUAGCCCUUGGACACAGACGCAAGCCACUACAAUCUUGCGGAUCGAACUACUUCUUCAGUUUUCAGCCAAUAUUCAUGAAAUUUGGCACAUACAUUGGUCUGCUUGUGAGGAUGUGCAGACACAUUUUUCACAAAAGUAACUAGAAAACAAGGUGAUAUCUAGUUUGAUAUUACAUUGCUGAGAGUGAUUUAUUAUUCAUGAGUCAUAAGCUAAAGAAUCAAGCAGAAUUUACAGGGUCUUGCAUUAAGACAUAGAGACAAAUUUAACCCUAAAUAGACUGGG